CUCCUUCCAAGGGGCCUGGGACCCCUUUCCUCCUGUUCUGUCACCUGGAAGUACUCAGCAGCCCCUGAGGCCAGCCCUAGCCUGCUAUUGACUAAGGGACAGGAGUACCAAGGAAUGCACUGUUCCUGUUUGUUGAGCCUUUUUAUUUGGCAAAGCAUGGAGAGAGCUCUCUCAGCUUCCAGACUUGCCUCCUCAAAGCCUCCUCUUUGCUGAGGCUCCCGCCAAGCCUCUCCCUCACAGCUGCUCUCCGCCUUCCUCUCUCCCUCCGGGUCCAUUUCUGGAUCCCUCCUUCCUUUCUGCUCCCCGCCCUACGUUCUUCCCACCCCUCCCCUGUCCCCUUGGCCUCCCUCCCACUUUCUCUCCGGGUUUCCCUGCCUCUUUUCUUCUCUCCUUCCCCUUUCCUCCCGCUCCUCUGUCCUCCCCGCAGCACCUUUGCUUUGGCUCUUUAGCUUUGGCUGGUCUCUCCCCGCAUCUCCACCAGCCCGGCCUAUCCUCUCCCUAGUUACGCGCUGCUCCGUCCCGGCCUCCGCACACUCCCCAGGGAGGCCCUUGGCCGCCCGGCCGCCUCCUCCCCGCGUCAGGGCCUCCCGCCCUGGAGGCCCGCGCCGGGCCCCUUGCUCCUGCGAGUGCUCAUUACGGCCGCUCACCUCACACCCCGGUCCGCCCCCUCCCUCCUAGGGCGGCCUCCGCGGCAGCCCCCGCAGCUCUGCCCACGCCGACCCCGCCCCCCAGCACCACCACCACGGGCUCCGGCAGUCGGAAAAAAAAAAGAAAAUCACCGCGUCCCCGAGCGGAGACCGAGGCACUGCCCGCCCCAGCUGCUGCCCACGUCACAGUGCAGGCGGACCGGAGCCCCAGCGGCAGAGCAGCCUGCGCCCCGCGGGCCCCGCCGAAGAGUAGCGGCCCGGGGCGGGGGCUGGAGCGCGGGCGCCACGAGUCCCAGCACUGCCCGCCGCGCUGCCGGCGCCCCAGGCUGGAGGAGGAUGCCGGACCCGCAGGGAAUUCAUUCCUGUCCCAGCCCUGGCCGCCCUUCUGACGGAGGAGCGGCGGGCAAAACCCGCUGCCCCCCGAGCAGAAGCUGAGGGGAGACGCUAGGCAGCCUCGGGGCGACGGCGGCCAGUGGGCGCCGAGCGAGGAGCACGAAGAACCGGCUGCGGCCGGGCGAGGCGGCGGGAAGCGUUCGGAGCCGCUGCCGAAGCUUCCAGCAGAGCCCUCGAAGUCGUUCCGUUCCUUUCUUCUGUAAACACCUAAUUGCAAGCCCCCGUGGGCCAGGCAUGGGGUACCAGAGAUCAGUAAAGCGGAGUCUCUGCCCUCGGGACCCCGUGUGGCGAAUACAGUGUGGUAAAUGAAAUCACAAAUCGUGGGAAAUUGUGAAAGGAAUCACGUUCUGUACACACACGCGACAAACAGCUCAACACAUUUCACAUAUAUUUCAGUCCUCAUCUGUUCAGAAGCUACUAUUAAAAGCUACUAUUAUCCCACCUCACAGAGGAGGAAACCGAGGCUCAGUUGUGUAACUUCUUGCUCAGAGUCACACAGCUAAUAGUAAUACGGAAGCGGGGAUUCUUAAACUGCCUGAUUGACUCCAAAAUGGACUUUACUGCUUUCUACUGAUAAAAGAAUUUGAAAUGACACUCAGAGCUAACUCAGUCUUCUAGAACGCUGGAGCUGGGAGUCACUCUAGGGACAGCCCUUGUUCUGUAAACAAGGGAGCAACAGCCCUGACAGAGCCAACUGGCAGGUCAGCAGGUGGAGCUGGAAGUUCCAAUCUUCUAAUCAUGUGGCUGGUUCCUCUGGUAACCAGUCUGCACCCUCCAAG
rnacentral:lncRNA from 10 species